rnacentral:rRNA from 1 species
UACGAAGGGGGCUAGCGUUGUUCGGAAUUACUGGGCGUAAAGCGCGCGUAGGCGGACCUGCAAGUCGGGGGUGAAAGCCCGAGGCUCAACCUCGGAACUGCCUUCGAUACUGCGGGUCUCGAGUCCGGGAGAGGUGAGUGGAAUUCCUAGUGUAGAGGUGAAAUUCGUAGAUAUUAGGAAGAACACCAGUGGCGAAGGCGACCACCUGGACUGAUACUGACACUGAGGUGCGAAAGCGUGGGGAGCAAACAGG